UACAGAGGUCUCAAGCGUUGUUCGGAUUCAUUGGGCGUAAAGGGUGCGUAGGCGGCGCGGUAAGUCGGGUGUGAAAUCUCGGAGCUUAACUCCGAAACUGCAUUCGAUACUGCCGUGCUUGAGGACUGGAGAGGAGACUGGAAUUUACGGUGUAGCGGUGAAAUGCGUAGAUAUCGGGAGGAACACCAAUGGCGAAGGCAGCUCGCUGGGACGUUACGUGACGCUGAGACGCGAAAGCGUGGGGAGCAA
rnacentral:rRNA from 1 species